CAGGUUUAUAAUAUUUGGAUGUUUUAUUUUCUUGAAAUCAAGCAGGUUACAUUUCAUUAGUUUUUACACAAUCUGAUAUUUGGAGCCAUUUGCAAAUAUGCUCAUAAAUUACAUGAUUUGUAAUCCUUAUCGAAAAAAAUCAUAAAAGAAUGAGGUGGUUAAUGAUCAAUAUUGGGAUCAACAGUGAUCACCCUACUGUAGGCAUUACGUAUGCAGGCAGAAAAAUAAAAGUUCCCAUUAAGGUCUCAUGUGAAACACCACAGGUCUGAAAUACUCAGGAACACAGGAAAAUGGUACAAAAAUGAAUUUCAAUUUUUUGCUAAAGAGACAUUGACAGGCCCACAGAGAGCCUGGAGCUCACGGGACAACAUUCACACACAUUCUGCUUCAUGAAGAGGUCAGAUUAUCGUCAGACCAUAGACAUUACAUGCAAGGACACUGAACCUUUGGCCGGAUUACACAUAGAAAUGCAAUCCUAAACAAAAUGGGUAAAGAUAAAGCAUGUUUAUUGAUGCGGCAAACAAAGGUUCAAAUAUCCUCCAAAGCACUUCAAGCCCUCAAAGAAUGAAACUCAAAACGCAGAUGAGGUAAAAGAAGAAACUUCUAAAUUAAAGUGGAGCGACCCAGGGACAAGUCUGGUUUGGGUUAAAGAUUAUGGAUGGUUAACUUUGUGUAACGCGUUUGGACAAGCAAGUUUAGGUUUUAGGCAAGCGAGUUUAGGCAGGCGACUUCAGGUAUUAGGCAAGCGAGUUUAGCCAAGCGAGUACAGGCAAGCGAGUCAAGCCAAGCGAGUUUAGGUUUUAGGCAAGCGUGUUCAGGUAUUAGGCAAGCGACUUCAAGGUAUUAGGCAAGCGACUUCAGGUAUUAGGCAAGCGAGUACAGGCAAGCGAGUCAAGCCAAGCGAGUUUAGGUUUUAUGCAAGUGAGUUCAGGUAUUAGGCAAGCGAGUUUAGGCAAGCAAGUUCAGGUAUUAGGCAAGCGACGCGAGUUUAGCCAAGCAAGUUCAGGUUUUAUGCAAGCGAGUUUAGGUUUUAUGCAAGCGAGUUUAGACAAGCGAGUUUAGGCAAGCAAGUUUAGGUAAGAGAGUCAAGUUACUUUAGGCCUCACUUUAUUUGCGGUUAAAUUGCGGCAUUAGGUUUAGAAAGAAGGUUAAGAUCCAGGCUCAGGUUUGCUUCCAGCCUCGUCCCUCUAGCCGCUCCCUAUAAAGAGGGUUCCCAGCUACAGUGUUAAAAUACAACAGCUGGGAUUACAGAUGUGGAGUACAGAAAUAAAUGACAAAGAUUGAUUCAAACAUUCUUCCCCCAAAAUGUGGUGCAACAUAAUGGAGAAAAUAAUUACUUUCUCUCCAUUGAAACCCAGUCAUAUCUUACGAUCUCACGAGGUCCCACCGCAAGGGGCGGACUUACAAGCUCUAUAGAGUGUGCACUGUGUGUUAAUGUUGGGUGUGGAUUAAUGUGCUGGUGUAGCCAGGGAUCCUCAGGGUUUAUGGGGAGUAGGACACACUGGUGUAGUUCAGUGCUCGUUGGGUCUCUGCACCAUGACACCCAGCUGCCGCACAUCUGGUCUCCCUUUAAGUCGCCUGAAGGAGAGGUCAAC
ensembl:lncRNA